GUCAGGGCAGAGUUCAGGGCAUCCCCCCACGUCCCUCUGCUGUAUGGGCAUCCCCUGCAUCCCACAGCCCCUUUGCUGUAUGGGCCCCCCCCGCCCCCCGCAUGGUGGAGGUGAGGGUUGAGCUCUGAGCCACCCCCCAGUGAUGGCUGAUGUGUUGGGAGCAGAAGUGCUGGCAAAGCAAAACUGAGAGCAGCAAAACGCUGGGAGAAAUCCUCAAAUGUCUGUUUUAAGAGAAGGGAGGUUUCUGCUCUCCUCUUUUUCCUCCUCCUUCACGCAGUUGGCAAUGGAAACAGCAAUUCUCAUACAAAUCAAAAUGUUUGCAAGGAGCUUCGAUCGUCACGGCUUGGCAGGAGCAGCUUUUGGGUUCCUUGAACUUUCUUUGCUCAGAUGCAAAAUGGAAAAGGCUCCAGCCUGAGGCUCUUUGGGAUGGGAGAGGUGCUGCUGCUCAGCUCCGGAACCCCUUUGUUUUCACAUCUUCCUCUACAGAUAUCCCAGGCAGCUCCAGACUGAGAGCAGCACAGACCCUGGGGGCAGGGCAGCAGGUGUUCACAUGGUUAACCCAGGCUGGGGGCACUUGGAGCCCUUUUGGGGUGCCGGGGUGACCCCACGGGAGAUGCCAGAGCCCCUCUGCUGUGGGAACAGUGCUGUGACCUCACAGCCUUUGGUGCACAAGGCAGCAGAGCCACCGGCAGAGCUGGAACAGGAGGAAUACGUUCCUUAACCCUCCACUUCUCCCUGCCUUCCACCCUUCCCAGCACUGAGCCGUGCUGUUCUGCUCUGUGCUCCAACGCAGCCAAACCCAAAUCAAGAGGUCGGACCCCAAAGCCUUUGGGCUGCAAUCCAAGUGCUGCACUCCUCCCUCUGUGACAUCUGCAGCUCCACAACAGCCUCCGGCCGAGGUCCCGACGCCGGCGGUCACUAAUGGUCCCCCUGGGCUCCCGCAGGGCUCCGUGCCCCAUCUUGCACAACCCUGGGAUGGAUGGCUGUUCCAGGACCAGGGGACAACUCAGAAGUGGGGAUGCAGCCAUGUGAGCUCACCAGGUGCUGAGCAGGAGCUGGUGAAGGACAAAGCAGUGGGAGGUGGGCCUGGGGCUGGUAGGGGGGCUGGGGGGGCUGCAGUAGGAACUCCAUGGGGCCACGAACCACUCUGGGUGUGAUGGGAAGGAUGCGCACAGCGCGUGGCCUAGAGCAGCCAGUUAGCUAAAUGUUUUAAAAAGU
rnacentral:lncRNA from 1 species